rnacentral:snRNA from 1 species
GUGCUCAUUUUGGCAGCACAUACAUUAAAAUUAGAACGAUACAGAGAUUAUUAGCCUGGCCCCUGGGCAAGAAUGACAUGCAAAUUUGUAAAGCGUUCCAUGUAUGU